GACGAACGCUGGCGGCGUGCUUAACACAUGCAAGUCGAACGGUGAAGCGCCUUCCUUUUUGGUGGGUGUGGAUGAGUGGCGAACGGGUGAGUAACACGUGAGUAACCUGCCCCCUUCUUCUGGAUAACCGCAUGAAAGUGUGGCUAAUACGGGAUAUUCUGGGUCUGUCGCAUGAUGGGUCUGGGAAAGAUAUUGUUUCGGUGGGGGAUGGGCUCGCGGCCUAUCAGCUUGUUGGUGGGGUGAUGGCCUACCAAGGCGGUGACGGGUAGCCGGCAUGAGAGGGUGGACGGUCACACUGGGACAGAGACACGGCCAAGACUCCUACGGGAGGCAGCAGUGGGGAAUAUUGAACAAUGGGCGCAAGCCUGAUGCAGCGACGCCGCGUGAGGGAUGGAGGCCUUCGGGUUGUGAACCUCUUUCGCCAGUGAAGCAGGCCUGCCUCGUUUGUGGGUGGGUUGACGGUAGCUGGAUAAGAAGCGCCGGCUAACUACGUG
rnacentral:rRNA from 1 species